AUGCACCGCGCCGGCUGGAUGCGCGUUCGCAACGCAUUCAAGCCGGCGGCUGUGCGCCGGCAGAGCACCAAGGCGAGCGUCGGCGACGGCGGCGCCAAGGCGGGCAUCUGCGACGGCGGCGAGCCUCUGCACACCAAGGGCGGCGGCGGCGGCGGCGGCGAGGCCGGGAAUGGUUCUGGCGAGUCCACGGAAGGCCCACCCGUCGUCAUCCCCGUGACCCUCGCGGGCAUCGCCAUGUGGACCUGGCAGAAGCAGUCGGAGAUUUCAUCAAGGACGCGCCGUACGCAACGGAGGGGAUGGUUGGGUACGUUGCUCCCGCUUCCCUUCCACAGAAGGAGGUCCCCGAGCCGCCAAACUGGGCCGACUUCUCCGCCUACUAUCUUCCGGCCGAGACUGCUAGUAUCGUCGUAG
rnacentral:rRNA from 1 species